CUCUGUAAGGACUGCUAAAGGUCCACUCCACAGGUACUGCUCUGUAAGGACUGCUAAAGGUCCACUCCACAGGUACUGCUCUAUAAGGACUGCUAAAGGUCCACUCCACAGGUACUGCUCUGUAAGGACUGCUAAAGGUCCACUCCACAGGUACUGCUCUAUAAGGACUGCUAAAGGUCCACUCCACAGGUACUGCUCUAUAAGGACUGCUACAGGUCCACUCCACAGGUACUGCUCUGUAAGGACUGCUACAGGUCCACUCCACAGGUACUGCUCUGUAAGGACUGCUAAAGGUCCACUCCACAGGUACUGCUCCGUAAGGACUGCUAAAGGUCCACUCGAGAGGUACUGACGCAGAUU
rnacentral:lncRNA from 1 species